rnacentral:rRNA from 1 species
AUUGAACGCUGGCGGCAGGCCUAACACAUGCAAGUCGAACGAGUGGCGGACGGGUGAGUAAUGUCUGUGAAACUGCCUGAUGGCGGGGGAUAACUACUGGAAACGGUAGCUAAUACCGCAUACCAUCAGAUGUGCCCAGAUGGGAUUAGCUUGUUGGGGGGGUAACGGCUCACAAAGGCAACGAUCCCUAGCUGGUCUGAGAGGAUGACAAGCUACCCUAGAACUGAAACACGGUCCAGACUCCGACGUGAGGCGGCGGUGGGGAAAAUAGCAUAAUGGGCGGAAGCCUGAUGCGGACAUGCCGAGUAUAUGAAGAGGGCCGUGGGGUUGUAAAGUACUUUCAGCGGGGAGGCGUUACCCGCAGAAGAAGGACCGGCUAACUCCGUGCCAGCCGCCGCGGUAAUUC